ACGAACGCUGGCGGCGUGCCUAACACAUGCAAGUCGAACGGGGAUUUGUUUCGGCAGAAUCCUAGUGGCGAACGGGUGAGUAACGCGUAGGCAACCUGCCCUCCGGCCGGGGACAACACUCCGAAAGGGGUGCUAAUACCGGAUACGAAGUCUGUGCCGCAUGGUACGGAUUUGAAAGAUGGCCUCUAUUUAUAAGCUAUCGCCGGGGGAUGGGCCUGCGUCUGAUUAGCUGGUUGGUGGGGUAACGGCCUACCAAGGCGACGAUCGGUAGCCGGUCUGAGAGGAUGAACGGCCACAUUGGGACUGAGACACGGCCCAGACUCCUACGGGAGGCAGCAGUGGGGAAUCUUCCGCAAUGGGCGCAAGCCUGACGGAGCAACGCCGCGUGAGUGAGGAAGUUCUUCGGAACGUAAAGCUCUGUUGUUCCUGACGAACCUCCCUUCUAUCAACAACGGAGGGGACUGACGGUAGGGAACGAGGAAGCCACGGCUAACUACGUGCCAGCAGCAGC
rnacentral:rRNA from 1 species